GGAGCGAUGGCCGAGCGGUCGAAGGCGGCGGUCUUGAAAACCGUUAUACAGCAAUGUAUCGGGGGUUCGAAUCCCUCUCGCUCCG
rfam:Treponema berlinense strain ATCC BAA-909 genome assembly, contig: EI67DRAFT_scaffold00005.5